rnacentral:lncRNA from 1 species
UUAUUGGUUUUUUUUUUUCUUUUUUUUAAAUAAAGUAAUAAAGGAACGAGAGAGUGGGUUAGUGCAGGCAAGGCCUUCCUGGGGAGCUGGCAUUUGACCAGAAGCCUGGAUAAAUGAGGGAGCCAGCGAUGCAAUGAUUGGGGAAUAGUGUAGAUGCAUAAAGUUUCCAAGGAGACUUAGCAAUUUAGGUGGAGCAAGAAGGCCACGGUAUUCGAGUAGAGUGAACAACAGGAAUUAUGGGAAGUAAGGUUGAAGAUGUAGGCAGGUAUUGUAGGGCAUGGUAUGAAGUUCAGGUUUUCGUUUGAGCAUGACGGCACUUUGAAAGGAUUUUUAACUGGUUUACCUUAAAAAACAAAAAAACAAAAACAAACAAAAAACAAAACAAAACCCUCACUACCUGCUUCAUAGAAAAUCAGUGGUAUGGGGCAAAAAUGGAAGUAGGGAGACCCGAAAGGGGACUACUGCAGUAGACAAGGCUAAGAGUUGGCUUUGGCUUGUACCAAUGGUGGUGAUGAAGCUGGUAGGAGGAGGUCGGAUUCUGGAGAUAUUUUGGAGAUGGAGCAGAUAGGACUUGUUAGUUUAUUAGAAGUUGAGUGUGAUAAAAAGGGAAGAAUCAAGAAUCGCUCCUAAGUUUUUGGCCUGAUAUAUUGGGUAAAUGGAAUUGCCCUCUACUGAGAUGAAACCCUUAUUAUUAUUAUUAUUUUUUUUAGAGAUGAGACCCUUAAAAGUGGAGCAGUUUGGGUGGGUAAUCAAGAGUUUGCUUUUACAGCUGUUAAGUUGGUCUAGACCUCCAGGUGGACACGAGGGGUAUUCAGUUGGAUAAAGGAGUCUGGAAUCAAAGAAGGAUGUAGGCUAGAUAAAGACCUUUGGAAGUCAUUGGCAUACAGAUGGCAUUAAAGCAAAUCAUCUAGAUCCCAUAUAGGAAUAGAAAUCAGGGUGAGGGGAAGGAUCCAGCAAAUAGCUGAGAAUGAUCAUUAGUAAGGAAGUAGGAAAAUCAGAAGUAGGAUGUCUUGGAGGGCAAGUGAAAAGAGCGGUCAAGGUCACUGCUUGACAAGGAGUCUCAGGGCAGCAACGAUGGUUGGACGGGACAUCAGAAGGAAUGAGAGAACGAGGAAGUAGAGACAACAUGUACUACCUCUUUGAGCAAUUUUCCUAUGUAGGGAAGUGCUUGGCUGGAGGAAGGAUGUGGGGUCAAGGAAAGGGGCUUAAAAUUUUUAUUUUUUAUUUAUUUUUUUAAAGAUUAUUUAUUUAUUCAUGAUAGACAGAGAGAGAGAGAGAGAGAGAGAGAGAGGCAGAGACACAGGCAGAGGAAGAAGCAGGCUCCAUGCAAGGAGCCCGAUGCGGCAUUCGAUUCUGGGACUCCAGGAUCACACCCUGGGCCAAAGGCAGGCACUAAACUGCUGAGCCACCCAGGGAUCCCCGGGGUUUAAAUUUUUUUUUUUUUUUAAGCUUUUUAACAAUGGGAGACAUUUUGAAAUGGAAAGAAUCCAACAGGCCUUGGCUAUGAUGAGGGAGGAGACAAGAGGGGUAGUACUACUGUCUGGGAGCUAAAUGGGACCUUUACUUGAUAACUGAUACCUUAUAACUUGCUACUGUUGCAGGACAAUAGGGACCCCUGGGCUGUGCAAUAGGGACCCCUGAUAGUGAAAGGAUAUGAGUCCACCCUAGGAGCUUGGCUUCAUAGGUGUCCAUAAGAGAGCAGGAGAGAAAGUUCUGCAAGGUGGUCCCUGCCAGGUAAGUACUGUUACGUACUCUUCAAAGAUACUGGAAAGAGGGAUCCCUGAGUGGCGCAGUGGUUUGGCGCCUGCCUUUGGCCCAGGGUGCGAUCCUGGAGACCCAGGAUCGAGUCCCACAUCAGGCUCCCGGUGCAUGGAGCCUGCUUCUCCCUCUGCCUCUCUCUCUCUCUCUCUCUGUAUGACUAUCAUUAAAAAAAAAAAAAAAA